GAUCUGAAUUGAAAAUGUAAUCAACAACAAAGUUUUAUAACUCAAGAAGAUCUAUAACUUUUAUUUUGGUCAUUUAUGCAUCCGACAAAGUGAUAGAAACAAAGUUCACAAAAUUGACAUAUCUCUCAUCUGGUCUAUAAACUAUCACAGAGAUAUGUCAAUUUUGUGAACAAUGUUACUAACACUUUAUUAUAUAGAAAAAUGACCAAAAUAAAAGUUAUAAAUCUUCAUGAGUUAUACAACUUUGUUGUUGAUUACAUUUUCAGUUGAGAUC
rnacentral:pre_miRNA from 1 species